rnacentral:rRNA from 1 species
ACCAGUCCCAGUUCGGAUAAGAGGCUGAAACUCGCCUCUUUGAAGUCGGAAUCGCUAGUAAUCGCAGAUCAGCAUGUUGCGGUGAAUACGUUCCCGGGUCUUGUACACACCGCCCGUCAAACCAUGAGAGUCACCAACACCCGAAGUCCGCCUUGGCGGCCUAAGGUGGGGGAGAUGAUUGGGGUUAAGUCGUAACAAGGUAUC